rnacentral:rRNA from 1 species
AGCUGGGUUCAGAACGUCGUGAGACAGUUCGGUCCCUAUCUGUCGUGGGCGCAGGAAAUUUGAGAGGAGCUGUCCUUAGUACGAGAGGACCGGGAUGGACGCACCUCUGGUGUACCAGUUGUUCCGCCAGGAGCAUAGCUGGGUAGCUACGUGCGGACGGGAUAAGCGCUGAAAGCAUCUAAGCGUGAAGCCCCCCUCAAGAUGAGAUUUCCCAAUUAGUAAGACCCCUUGAAGACGACGAGGUAGAUAGGUUGGAGGUGGAAGUGCAGCAAUGCAUGGAGCUGACCAAUACUAAUCGGUCGAGGGCUUAUCCUA